rnacentral:tRNA from 1 species
GCGGAGGUACCGAAGCGGCUAACGGGCUCGCCUGCAGAGCGAGUUUUCCUGGGUUCGAGUCCCAGCCUCCGCU